rnacentral:rRNA from 1 species
AACGAACGCUGGCGGCAUGCCUAACACAUGCAAGUCGAACGAGACCUUCGGGUCUAGUGGCGCACGGGUGCGUAACGCGUGGGAACCUGCCCUUAGGUUCGGAAUAACUCCCCGAAAGGGGUGCUAAUACCGGAUAAUGUCUUCGGACCAAAGAUUUAUCGCCUUUGGAUGGGCCCGCGUUGGAUUAGCUAGUUGGUAGGGUAAAAGCCUACCAAGGCGACGAUCCAUAGCUGGUCUGAGAGGAUGAUCAGCCACACUGGGACUGAGACACGGCCCAGACUCCUACGGGAGGCAGCAGUGGGGAAUAUUGGACAAUAGGCGAAAGCCUGAUCCAGCAAUGCCGCGUGAGUGAUGAAGGCCUUAGGGUUGUAAAGCUCUUUUACCCGGGAUGAUAAUGACAGUACCGGGAGAAUAAGCUCCGGCUAACUCCGU